rnacentral:ncRNA from 1 species
CACGGUCAGACAAAGUAACUCAAUCCCUGAGCGAAAUCCGUACCAUUACAGAAGGAGGGCUUUAGACACCCCUGUCCUAUGGACUAAAACACCUCUUUAAUGCGGCCGUCUGGACGCUGCUUGCAUGGCGGGAAAUCGCGCUUAUCCCGUUUCAUAGACGGCGCCGCUACGCAGUUAGAACGCGCGCCCACAAAUUUACUGUAUAAGGAGGACAAUUUUUAAUGACAAGCG